UCAUUCCUUCAGUGUUGAGACAAUCUCUACUGAAUCAGCUUUAAACAAGUUCACUAGAGUUUGUUUCAAUAUUGCAAGAAUGA
rnacentral:pre_miRNA from 1 species